CACAUCUUAUCUAUUCUUUCCUUGUACAAUGACUUCUGCACAGGUCACACAGCAUGCUCAGAAAACUCUCCCAUCGAAGUCAAUGAGGCCCCCUCCUGACCAUUGUGUCUAUGGACCAUGGGGCUGCCGUAAAGCAAUUUUCUUAAAGGGGUUAGCGGCAGCGCAGGAAAGAUGG